GUGACCAGGCCCCGGUUCCUGCAGUGCUUCCUGAUUGAAGUUGUGUGCGCGUGCAUCUCAGGCUCGUUGUUUCCCCCGGACAUGCCAUGCGCAGGCGUCAUGGGUUCCUCGUUGCCUCCAGGCGUGCCACGUGCCGGCACCUCCCCCUGGUUAUUUACUCCAGGCGUGCUGCGAGAAGGCAUCUCCGCCUGGGUAUUUCCUCCAGACGUGCUGAGAGAAGGCGGCCUGUGCGCCAUCAGUUCUUCCCCCUCCACGACGAUCCCUUUCAUGAGCU
rnacentral:lncRNA from 1 species